AUACCUUGAUUACAAUAACAACUGUUUUUCUGAACCUGUUCAAUAAAAGGCUCGCUAGCGCAUGUCAAUCGAUGGCUAGCUGUCGUUUUUAGGAAUAGUCUAAAAGAGUCUGUGGCGAGCAUGCGAGAAUUCUGUAGUCAUCUAAUACGUUAGGGUCUUGGCCGAUUUUUCAAGAUGGCGUGAUAAAAAAUUAAAUUGCCGUAAACACGAAUUUCUGCCAGUUUGUUGAAAGGUUGAAGAUCAAAAUAAAAAUAGAUACAUGUUAUGUUGUGAUAAGGAAGUGGCAGAGCGAACUGGAAAAUGGCGACUUUCCAAACAAAAUAUUUGCUACAAAUAGAUGAGUUAAUCAUUACCUUUUAGCUUGUGCUGCAGCCGCAACCGACGAGUUGCUAGGCGACAAAAUCAGACGAACAGCCCUCUCCUACAAGUGCAACAAAUGUACAUCAAUCACAGUGCUGCUGCUGUUGACGACGAAGACAAUGUUGAUAAAGAUACAAACGAUGACGAUGAUGUUGACGAUGAUGCUGAUAAAUGAUGAUGACGACAACGAUGGUGAUGUGAAGACAAUAAUGAUGCUGAUGAUUAACCGUUGCUAAGUAGAGUCCCAUGUAGCCUUAAGACAAUAAUCCUUACCGUUACAAGCUCAGUGAUUCCUUGGGAUGAACUGUUGAAGAAAAUCAAGUUAAAAAAGACGUAUCUUCAUACGUAUUGCGUAUGUCUAUUAUGUAUGCCAAGAAUACAAAAGUGACAAGAAGACAACAUGUUGAGUAGAACCCCAUAACAUGGUUCCCACGAGUUUAGACUUUCAUGACAAAUUUCCUGGACUUAACCUUUUUAAGGACUUGAUCUACCUUGCCAAAGGCUGAACCCCACGGACGUUGAUCUGAAAGAAGUUACCGCAAAGCUGCCCAAGGCGUAAUGGUGCAUCACACGUCUUGUAUCCGCCCGUCACAAUCCCACCAAUCACUUGGCGAUCAAGCGCUGAUACCAGCCUAAAAAACCCAGAAACUUUAAGGCGAAUCUAAACCGUGCUAUUCCCAAACGUACAAUGAUGAUUAAAAAUUUGCGUCAAAUAGUAAAAUAAGCAAAUUAAAAUGUAAUUAGUAGAUAUUUUGCAGGAAAUUGCUGA